GGUCACAUGACUGAAGCUCAUUAUUGGACCCCUAAGUGGAGAAGUCCUCACCUGGAGCGCUCACUGCGACUAGUAGCUCAAAAUGGAGGCUCUUCUUAAACAUACCAGCAGGGGGCAGCACCAGACCUGUUUCUCUGAACAAAGAAGAGCAGAAGUGGCUGUACUGCAAAUGGAGGCUCCUCACAUACAUACCAGCAGGGGGCAGCACCAGACCUGUUUCUCUGAGCAAAGAAGAGCGGAAGU